UACGGAGGGUGCAAGCGUUAUCCGGAUUUACUGGGUUUAAAGGGUGCGUAGGUGGGUAGGUAAGUCAGUGGUGAAAUCUUCAAGCUUAACUUGGAAACUGCCAUUGAUACUAUUUAUCUUGAAUCAUCUGGAGGUAAGCGGAAUAUGUCAUGUAGCGGUGAAAUGCUUAGAUAUGACAUAGAACACCCAUUGCGAAGGCAGCUUACUACGGAUGUAUUGACACUGAGGCACGAAAGCGUGGGGAUCAAACAGG
rnacentral:rRNA from 2 species